AUGAAUCCUCAAAGUAAACUACAACUAAGGAUCCUUUAUUGGAUCUUAUUACUUGUUUGUGUUACUAACACUCUUCCAAUCAAAGCUUUGGAAUCAAGGAAGCUAGUUGAGAAGUGCACACCAUGUGGUGACAAUCCAAUAUCAUCACCACCUCCAAUAAUAUACAAUUCACCACCACCACCAAUUGUGUAUUAUCCAUCACCACCACCUCCAAUAGUUUACUACUCUCCACCACCACCUUCUCCGAAGAAAUCGCCCUCCUCGAAUUGUCCUCCACCACCAUCUUCGCCAUACAUAGUACUCACCGGACCGCCGGGGAACUUGUAUCCAGUUGAUGUGAAUUUCAGUGGAUCAGGAGCAACUCCAGUCGGCCGUGGAAGCUUUGCCGGAUUCUUGCCACUGCUGGUUUGUUUGUUGAGCUUUCUAGCCUUUUGGUGA